CAGGACAAAUGAUCGCGGCUGGCAACAGACGAGGAAAGUCCGGGCUUCACAGGGCAGGAUGCCGGAUAACGUCCGGUGGAGGCGACUCCAAGGAUAGUGCAACAGAAAUAUACCGCCGGCCCCGGCCGGUAAGGUUGGAAGGGCAGUGUAAGAGACUACCGCCCGCCUGGUAACAGGCGGGGCAUAUGUAAACCCCAUCCGAAGCAAGACUAACAGAAGGCAUAAGGCGGCCCGUCUGCCUUCGGGUAAGUCGCUUGAGCCUGCCGGUGACGGCAGGCCUAGAUAGAUGAUCAUUCAAUGACAGAACCCGGCUUAUCGUCCUGCUCUU
rnacentral:RNase_P_RNA from 1 species